UGUCAUUAUUUAGUUCUCAAAAUCUGUACUAGACAAAAUGUAAAAUCGAUCCAUUUACCAAACGUUCCGUGGGUUUAAUCAAACGUUCCGUGGGUUUAAUCAAACGUUCCGUGGGUUUAAUCAAACGUUCCGUGGGUUUAAUCAAACGUUCCGUAGGUUUUAUCAAACGUUCCGUGGGUUUUAUCAAACGUUCCGUGGGUUUUAUCAAACGUUCCGUGGGUUUUAUCAAACGUUCCGUGGGUUUUAUCAAACGUUCCGUGGGUUUAAUCAAACGUUCCGUGGGUUUAAUCAAACGUUCCGUAGGUUAUCAAACGUUCCGUGGGUUUUAUCAAACGU